rnacentral:tRNA from 1 species
GCCGGUGUGAUGGAAUUGGUAGACGUAGCGGAUUCAAAAUCCGCCGGGCUAAUCCCCCGUGUGGGUUCGAGUCCCACCACCGGCACCA